CUUUACUGUAGCCUGGUAUUGUGUUCGGGCUUUGACUGCGCAGGAUAGGUGGGAGACUAUGAAGCUGCCCUUGUGGGGGCAGUGGAGUCAUCAGUGAGAUACCACUCUGUCAAGGCUAGAGUUCUAACCGUCUGCCGUUAUCCGGCGACGGAACAGUAUCAGGUGGGCAGUUUGACUGGGGCGGUCGCCUCCUAAAUGGUAACGGAGGCGCGCAAAGGUUCCCUCAGGCUGGUUGGAAAUCAGCCGAAGAGUGUAAAGGCAGAAGGGAGCUUGACUGCAAGAGCAACAACUCAAGCAGGGACGAAAGUCGGCCUUAGUGAUCCGACGGCGCUGAGUGGAAGGGCCGUCGCUCAACGGAUAAAAGUUA
rnacentral:rRNA from 1 species